ensembl:lncRNA
AUUUUCUACGCUGUGGAUCCAAGCAAGGGCUAUGUUUAUGUGCUUUUUUUAACUCUCCCCAACAGAGUUGUCCUCUGAUCUGCUGAGAGCCGGUCCAAGCUGACAAGGAAAAGCAAGGGACAAGAAAAAACUCUCAUGACCCGAACAAUAACAAAUACAUCAUCAAGGAGAGAAACUUGGCUAAAUUUCUAUGUCAGCACACAUUUUCGGCAGGUGACUUCUUAAAAAAGGGAUUUAGGAAUUUGAUUCACUUCAACCAGCCACAAAUGAAGAUCACAUCCAGUCCUCAUGAGCUUAUUGAGGUACGUAGUGUUUUUGUUGGUUUCAGCUUUCUUAUUGUCAUAAUAACAUCACAAAUAGCUUUCUCUCCCCCACCUUUCCAGUUCUGAUUAUAUCAAAAUGCACUGCAGACAGUAAUCAUACCUUCCUCAUUAAGGCCCCAAUUAACACCAGGCAGAUGAUUCCCAUGGCAAUUCAAUUAAUCAGAUUUCAGGGACAGCUGAGCAAGCAGGUCUACUAAGGAAUCACAGAACACCCAGGUUUCCAUAGUACUCUAUAAUAAAUAUUGCUGAUGUUUUAGAAAUACCAAUUCUGGUACUGAACAUCUAGUAUAUGGUAUAGACUCAGGAACUAGGCUGGCCAUAAGAAAAGACAAAAUACUAUUAGCUGCCUAAGUAUACAAGUUCUCAAGCAACUUAAUUGAUUUCCCAGCAGACCUGCUCAGAGGCCUGAUAUGGCUUCUAAUAAAGCUCUUCCUACACUGACUUUAUGCAUUUUAAUUUGCACUCUCAAUUCAGUAUGGGUUUCCUAACAUCUCAAAUUAAACAAACUAUGAUAUAGUUCACUUCUGAAUUUACAGUAUACAGAAUUACUUAACGUAAACAUGUAGUUAUGGCAAUAGAGCCCUUCUCUUCAAGCUAUGUAUCAAUGUGUAAAGUCACAACUAAGAAUACAGGUAGAAAGUGUGAAUUGUUCAUGAAAUAUUCUUAAAGAAUCAGAAAAAUACAAACUGUCAUCUUUCCUUCCUGUUCCCAAAAGUUUUGGAAGUGGUACAGUAAAGAUAAUUGAACUUAACCUUGAAUAAAGACUAUUAUUAUCCUCACAUCUUUGAUUUGAUAGGAAAACUAGGAUAUAGAUCACAGCUGAAAGUGUUUGAAUCACUGAACCUCAAGAUGCACAAGGUUUGAACCUGUUUUUUGAUGAAUGAGUUCUUGGUUCCAUAUCGUCUGCUAGGUUCAGCAUUUACCUGUCUGAACUUACCAGUAGACAUCUACUACAAAAAAAUUCUCACUAAAAAAUAAUGGGGAAUAUUGAUUAAUGUGGCAUACAACUUGAAUAUUGUAAAUUAUUGAAAUUUAGAACCUAUAUGCUUGUUUCAGCUCAUACAACAGAAAAACAUCCUUUCCUCCUUUGCUGUGUAACUUCAGUGAUGCAUGUACAGUACUCUGGUCCAGCAUGCAGUGUUUUACAGUCAGUGCACAUCUCCCAGGGCACAUGCAUCUACCUGAACUUACCUGACGAAAGGAAACUCUCUUCAAAGUCUCUUGGCUUUUAUCUAAAUACAAACCUAUCUUUCAGAUGUAAAGUGCUUUAUAAAUACAUGAAAGUGUAGAUGUAUGUAUGUCUGUUUCUAUUUAUGCCAAAUAAUUACUGUAACUUGCAGCCACCUUUGUUGAUCGUACUGAAAUCAAUUAUAAUCAGACCUACUCCUUGCUGUGAUGAAUUAGUGGGCUUUUUCUUUCCUAGUAUUUUGAAGAAAAUUAAACAUUUUGACAGAUUAUAGAGAUGUUGAAAUGGAUUCUUUAUUUCUUUUGUUUUAAAUGAAAUGGUUUGUUACAGAACCUACUUGCUAAAUAAAUAUUAACAUUGAAGUUAAUACACUUUUUCAGUUCUUAAGCUUAAUAAUGGAUGUUUUCUUGCCUUUGCAGGAGGAUAACUGUGUGUUUUCUUUAAAAGCAGGCAGAUUGUUUAUAGAUUUGAAACACUAAAAUAAAUUCUGAAUAUAUGGAAGAUGUUAAUCUGUUUUCUUUUCCCAUGAUAACAAAGGUUAAUUGGAAGAUCCUGUGCAGCCAUAAACUCAAGCUCAUGCAAGUACAAACUGAAAACAGACCAGAAAAGAAAUUCAAAAGUGAAUGUGAUACUGAGUCACAAUAAAAUCCAAACUGCCUUU